AGCGAACGCUGGCGGCAGGCCUAACACAUGCAAGUCGAACGAUCCUUCGGGAUAGUGGCGGACGGGUGAGUAACACGUGGGAACGUACCUUUAGGUUCGGGAUAACUCAGGGAAACUUGAGCUAAUACCGGAUAAGCCCUUUUGGGGAAAGAUUUAUCGCCUUUAGAGCGGCCCGCGUUAGAUUAGCUAGUUGGUGGGGUAAAGGCCCACCAAGGCUCCGAUCUAUAGCUGGUCUGAGAGGAUGAUCAGCCACACUGGGACUGAGACACGGCCCAGACUCCUACGGGAGGCAGCAGUGGGGAAUCUUGCGCAAUGGGCGAAAGCCUGACGCAGCCAUGCCGCGUGAAUGAUGAAGGUCUUAGGAUUGUAAAAUUCUUUUAGCAGGGACGAUAAUGACGGCACCUGCAGAAAAAGCCCCGGCUAACUUCGUGCCAGCAGCCGCUGUAA
rnacentral:rRNA from 1 species